rnacentral:lncRNA from 1 species
GGGGGGAGGACCUUGGAGCGUGUUGGAGAAGACUCAGCCCGCGACGGCUGAGGACGCAAGUGGGGAGAGUUGCCUUUAAAAGGAGGGCGACCCCCUUGAAAGGCAACCAUGUCUUCGCGCUCUCCUCAUGCAUUGUGUCUUUCCACCUUUCGAGCCCCCAGAUGGGGGGUGCAGUCGGUUCUUCCGCCUUGUCGUCGUUGGGGGAACGCAACUUUGCGAAAGUUGGUACCUUUCAGCCACCGUUCGGCUUCAAGGAUUUUCGUCAGGCAGCCCGGCUGCUUCCCCUCGCUGGUGAUCACCCAAGAUGGUGACCACCAGUUCGGUGGUGGGGAGAAGCGAGCCGGGCUGCGAUCUUGGUCCCGCCCUCAGCUUCAAGGAUCUUCGUCAUCCUGGCUGGGGCGGAGGCCGGGCUGAGCCGGAGCUCUGUCUCCUGCACGGGUCGGCGGGUCACCUUCUCCCUUAGCAUUCAAGGGAGAGGGCGCUCACCGACCUAGCGGGAGGGCCGGACUUCGACAACGCGGGGCUGGUCGGCGGUGAGCGUCGUCAGCUUCAGUGCGUUGGGCUCGCUGGCUCGGCUGGCCUGGUUCGGCUCCCGGUGUCUCCUCCCGCCGUGAGAGCGGUUGUCGAGCCGCGUGCACCGGGGGACCGCCCAAGACGUCACGCGCUGCUAGGGCGGCGUUCGUGUUCUGGGGCUGUCCUGCCUUUUCCCCGGUACGGCGCCUCUGCGCGGAGGUUGGUGCUUCGCUCGUCCGGGAGGAUCCGAGCGGGAAUCUGCCGGUGGGCAGAUGGCUUAUGUCGUCAGCGCUGAGGUGGCGAUGGUUGAAGAAGUCCUCGUCGCCGACGGGGUCACCGCCACCAUGCAUGCUCCGGGCCUCUGGCUCUUUGGCUUUGAUAGCUUGUCCUCGCCCCUCGAGUGGGGGCGUGGGCGAGGAGCUCGUCGCAGCAGCGUCCACCCUGAGGUCAUCGCUGCUGCUGUUUGGCCACUUCGGAGCGGGCGUCGGCGAGCCACCAGGGGUUUUGUCGCCCCGCAGGCCCUCCAACGUGGGGGGUUGUUUGUACCUGCGGGGGUGGAACCGGAGUUCUGUUUGUAAUGGCACCUUGAGUGCCGGUGUUUGUUCAUUAUGGCUGUCGGGGCCUGAACAUGUAUGUAUCUUUUGGCGUGAAGCCGUGUUUUUCCCUCAUUCCGAGCACUAGGACUCGCCUGUCAGCUAACUGAACCGCUUCACCAAGUGUGAGUUGCCUCGUGCGAAGGUGAUGAGUGAGGUAUCCGUAUCCCGGAGGCAUAGGAGUCCCUCGGCUCAGUCGGCCUUGGCACCCGAGGCUUCUUUUGCUUAGUUAAAGGAAACCCUUGGCCGCUCUUCGAUGAGCCGGAGCCGGAGGCAGUGGUAUCAGCAUGGACAGAGGCAGAGUUGGCUCGAAAGGAAGACUUUGUCGGCCGGAGCCUGACCGGGCCGUCCACUGGCGAGACCGGCGCCGGAGUCGAGUUGCCGAGGCCAUGGGUCGGGCUGAUGUCCUCGGGGGACAGCUGGCUGAGGCUUCGGGGUGACCGGCCGAGCCGUCUGCUCGAGCCGGACUCCUGGAGGAGACCCUGGCGGCGAUGGCCCGGGCGUGGUGCUGACAUCGUCCUUUGGAGCGGAGAUCCUCCGACUGUGUUGUCGUUCGAGGCUCGGUCGGACUCCGCCGAAGGUGGUGUUGACGUCGAGGGUGCUGCUGCUCCCCCUCUAUCGAGGUCCGAACCUGCAGGAUCAGUUUACCUUGUAGUGUGCGUAUGUUUUCUGUGGCGGCCGAGGCCCAAACAUACUGUCGCUGUGUUGUAAAGCUGCGUUUCUUUUUUUUCUUUGUCUCGAGUAUCAAGACUUAUUCGUCGGUAACAGAAUUGUCUGUUCGAGCGAGAGUUACUUUUCACGGAAGGUGAUGAGUGAGGUAUCCGUAUCCCGGAGGCGUAGGAGUCCCUCAGCUCGAUCGGUCUUGCCGCUUACGUGUACUCUUACUCGUUUGUAGGAUUCUGCUAACGAUAUAGUCGAGAAGACCCGAAAAAUCGUUUUGGCAGAAAGGUCUCGAGCAUUAAGACUUGUUCGAUUGGCGGAAUCGCUUAUCCGAGCAUGAGUUACUUAUCGCAGAAGGUGAUGAGAGAGGUAUCCGUAUCCCGGAGGCGUAGGAGUCCCUCAGCUCGGUCGGCCUUGGCUGCUUACGUGUACUCCAUCGUUUUCAGGACCCCACUUUUGAAGUAGUCAAAAAGCACGAAAGACGUUCUGGCAGAAAGACUUUUUCCAAGGAAAAUUUUGACGCAGAGGGGGUUCCCCCCUUCUAGCCCCCGAGGGAGGGUCGGGCUUUGCCGAGGCAAGGCUGACCCUUCCUUGAUGGUUAGACUUUGUGUGUGAACGAGGUGUACGAACGACUUGAAAGCAUCUUAAGGGUAUAAGCGACGUAGCUGUCGGAUGUUCCAAGCGUUGCUGUAGACCUCGCCUUGGCUGUUGGCCAGCUUGUAUGUCACGGGCUUCAGAACCUUGGCGACGACGAACGACCCUUCCUAGGGAGGCAUGAGCUUGUGCCGCCCUCGGGCGUCUUGUCGCAGCUGAAGCACCAGGUCGCCCACUUGGAGGUCUCGGGACCGAACCCCUCGGGCGUGGUAGCGUCGCAGGGACUGCUGGUACCGCGCCGAGUGUAGUAAGGCCAUGUCCCAAGCCUCUUCGAGCUGGUCUAGUGAGUCUUCUCGGUCGGUCUGGUUUCUUCGGUUGUCGUACGCCCUCGUCCUCGGGGAACCGUAUUCUAAGUUCGUGGGCAAGACGGCCUCGGCCCCAUAGACUAGAAAGAACGGUGUGAAGCCCCUGGCUCGACUCGGCGUUGUCCUCAAACUCCAGACCACCGAGGGGAGUUCCUUCAUCCAUCGCCUGCCGAACUUGUGGAGGUCGCUGUAGAUCCUCGGCUUGAGUCCUUGCAGAAUCAUGCCGUUGGCACGUUCCACCUGCCCAUUCGUCAUGGGGUGAGGCCGGUGAGCCACGGCAGCCCAGUCCACCCGGAUAUGGUGAUCCUCGCAGAAGUCCAGGAACUUUCUGCCGAUGAACUGGGUGCCGUUGUCGGUGAUGAUGGAGUUCGAGACCCCAAAGCGAUGGAUGAUGUUGGUGAAGAAUGCCACCGCCUGUUCGGACCUGAUGCUGUUCAGGGGUCGGUCCUCGAUCCACUUGGAGAAUUUGUCGAUGGCGACCAGCAGGUGCGUGUAGCCCCCGUGUGCCUUCUACAAGGGACCGACGAGGUCCAGUCCCCAUACGGCAAACGACCAGGUGAUGGGUAUUGUCUAUAGAGCCUGAGCGGGCAGGUGGGUCUACCUCGCGUAGAAUUGACACCCUCGGCAGGCGCGGACGAUUCUAGUGGCAUCGGUCACCGCGAUCGGCCAGUAGAAACCUUGUCGAAAGGCGCUUCCAACAAGGGCUCGGGGCGCUGCGUGAUGACCACAAGCCCCCGAGUGUAUUUCUUGUAAGAGCUCCUGGCCUUCGGCGAUGGAUAUGCACCGCUGGAGGAUGCCGGAUGGGCUGUGGUGGUAGAGCUCCUUUCCGUCACCCAGUAAGACGAACGACUUGGCGCACCGCGCCAGUCGCCGAGCCUCGGCUCGGUCGAGGGGCAGAUCUCCUUGGUGGAGAUAUUGCAGGUACGGGGUCUGCCAGUUUCGAUUAGGCUGGACCCCACUCCGCUCUUCCUCGAUGCGCAGUGCCUCACCCUCGGGGGCCGAGGGUGCCUCAGGCUAUGCCGAGGGUGCCUCGGGCUGAGUCGAGGGCGCCUCAGGCUGUGCCGAGGGUGCCUCGGGCUGGGUCGAGGCCUUCUCGGGCUCGGGCGUGUCACCGGUCUUGACUGAGGGUUGAUGUAGGUCUCGGAAGAAGACGUCCGGGGGAACCGUUGUCCGCCCCGAGGCUAUCUUAGCCAGCUCGUCCGCAGUCUCGUUGCGUCGUCGGACGAUGUGGUUGAGCUCGAGCCCAUAGAACUUGUCCUCCAGGCGCCGAACCUCAUCGCAGUAGGCUUCCAUCUUCGGGUCGCGGCAGUGGGAGUUCUUCAUAACUUGGUAGAUGACGAGCUGCGAGUCGCCACGAGCGUCGAGGCGUCGGACCCCUAGCUCAAUGGCGAUGCGCAACCCGUUGACCAGAGCUUCGUACUCAGCCACGUUGUUGGACGCCGGGAAAUGGAGGCGCAGCAUGUAGCGUAGGUGUUUCCCGAGGGGCGCAAUGAAGAGCAGGCCCACGCCUACCCCUGUUUUCAUCAGCGACCCAUCGAAAAACAUGGUCCGGAGUUCCGGCUGGAUCGGAGGCGCCGGGAGCUGGGUGUCGACCCAUUCCGCCACAAAGUCUGCCAUGACUUGAGACUUGAUGGCCCUCCGAGGGGCGAACGAGAUCAUCUCGCCCAUGAUUUCCACCGCCCACUUUGCAAUCCUACCCGAGGCCUCUCGGCACUGGAUGAUCUCCCCCAGGGGGAAGGAUGACACCACAGUCACCGGAUGAGACUCGAAGUAGUGUCGCAACUUCCGUCGCGUCAGGAUCACCGCGUACAGCAGCUUCUGAAUUUGCGGGUAGCGGAUCUUGGUCUCGGAUAGUACCUCACUGAUGAAGUAAACCGGCCUCUGGACGGGCAAUGCAUGCCCUUAUUCUUGUCUCUCAACCACGAUCGCGGCGCUGACCACCUGAGUGGUAGCGGCGACGUAGAUCAAGAGGGCUUCUCCGGGGCGGGGGGCACCAAGAUGGGCGCGUUCGUAAGGAGCGCCUUCAGGUUCCUGAGGGCUUCCUCGGCCUCGGAGGUCCAAGUGAAGCACUCGGUCUUUCUUAAGAGGUGGUACAGAGGCAGGCCUCUUUCGCCGAGGCACGAGAUGAAACGGCUCAGAGCCGCAAGGCAUCCCAUGACCCUCUGUACGCCUUUCAAGUCCUUGAUGGGCCCCAUGUUGGUGAUGGCCGUGAUUUUCUCUGGGUUGGCCUCGAUGCCCCGCUCGGAGACGAUGAACCCCAAGAGCAUGCCUCGGCGGACUCCGAAGACACACUUCCCGGGAUUGAGUUUUACGCCUUUCGCCUUGAGACACCGGAAUGUCGUUUCAAGGUCGGAAAGGAGGUCGGAGGCUUUCCUCGUCUUGACUACGAUGUCAUCGACAUAAGCCUUGACCGUUCGACCAAUGUGUUCGCCGAACACGUGGUUCAUGCACCUUUGGUAUGUCGCACCCGCAUUCCUCAAACCAAAUGUCAUAGUAACAUAGCAGUACAUGCCAAAAGGUGUGAUGAAAGAAGUCGCGAGUUGGUCGGACUCUUUCAUCCUGAUUUGGUGAUACCCUGAGUAGGCAUCGAGGAAAGACAGGGUUUCGCAUCCCGCAGUGGAAUCCACGAUUUGAUCGAUGCGAGGCAGAGGAUAGGGAACUUUUGGGCAUGCUUUGUUUAGACCAGUGUAGUCUACACACAUCCGCCAUUUCCCUCCUUUUUUUCUCACAAGCACGGGGUUGGCAAGCCAUUCGGGAUGGAAUACCUCUUUGAUGAACCCUGCGGCCAUCAGCUUGUGGAUCUCCUCGCCUAUGGCUCUGCGCUUUUCUUCGUCGAAUCGGUGCAGAGGUUGCUUCACGGGUCGGGCUCCAGCUCGGAUAUCCAGCGAGUACUCGGCGACAUCCCUCGGUAUGCCAGGCAUGUCCGAGGGACUCCACGCGAAAACUUCAGCGUUUGCAUGGAGAAAGUCCACGAGCACUGCUUCCUAUUUGGGGUCGAGCUCGGAGCCGAUCUGUAUCUGCUUGGAGGCGUUGUUGCUGGGGUCAUGUGGGACGGACUUAACCGUCUCCGCUGGCUCAAAGUUGCCGGCAUGGCGCUUCACGUCUGGCGCCUCUUUGGAGAGGCUCUCCAGGUCGGCGAUGAGGGCCUCGGAUUCGGCGAGGGCCUCGACGUACUCCACGCACUCUACGUCGCAUUCGUACGCGUGUCGAUACAUGGGGUCGACGGUGAUGACCCCGUUGGGGCCCGACAUCUUGAGCUUGAGGUAGGUGUAGUUUGGGACGGCCAUGAACUUGGCGUAGCAUGGCCUCCCCAGUACUGCGUGGUAGGUUCCUCGGAACCCGACCACCUCGAACGUGAGGGUUUCCCUUCUGAAGUUGGAGGGAGUCCUGAAGCAGACGGGCAGAUCGAGUCGUCCGAGGCGUUGGACGCGUUUCCCGGGGAUGAUCCCGAGAAAAGGCGCCACACCGGCCCGGACCGAGGACAGAUUGAUCUGUAGGAGCUCGAGGGUCUCGGCGUAGAUGAUGUUGAGGCUGCUGCCUCCGUCCAUGAGGACCUUGGUGAGCCUGACGUUGCCGAUGACGGGGUCGACAACGAGCGGAUAUUUCCCCGGGCUCGGCACGCGGUCGGGGUGAUCGCCCUGGUCGAAGGUGAUGGGCUUGUCGGACCAGUCUAGGUAGACUGGCGCCGCCACCUUUACCGAGCAGACCUCCCGAUGCUCUUGCUUGCGGUGCCGAGCCGAGGCGUUCGCCACUGGCCCACCGUAGAUCAUGAAGCAGUCGCGGACCUCGGGGAACUCCUCUGCCUUGUGAUCCUCCUUCUUAUCGUCGUGGUGGGCCCUGCCACCUUCCGCAGGUGGCCCGGCCCUGUGAAAGUGGCACCGAAGCAUGUCGCAUUCCUCAAGGGUGUGCUUGAUGGGUCCUUGAUGAUAGGGGCACGGCUCCUUGAGCAUCUUGUCGAAUAGAUUGGCGCCUCCGGGAGGUUUCUGAGGGUUCUUGUACUCAGCGGCGGCGACAAGGUCUGCGUCGGUGGCGUCGCGUUUUGCUUGCGACUUCUUCUUGCCUUUCCUCUUGGUGUCGCGCUGAGCGGACGCCUCGGGAACAUCUUCCGGCUGGCGUCCCUGGGGCUGCUUGUCCUUCCGGAAGAUGGCCUCAAUCGCCUCCUGGCCAGAGGCGAACUUGGUGGCAAUGUCCAUAAGCUCGCUCGCCCUGGUGGGGGUCUUGUGACCCAGCUUGCUCACCAGGUCGCGGCAGGUGGUGCCGGCGAGGAACGCGCCGAUGACAUCCGAAUCGGUGACGUUGGGCAGCUCGGUGCGCUGCUUUGAGAAUCGCCGGAUGUAGUCCCGGAGAGACUCUCCCGGCUGCUGUCGGCAGCUUCGGAGAUCCCAGGAGUUCCCAGGACACAUGUACGUGCCCUAGAAAUUACCAGCGAAGGCUUGGACCAGGUCGUCCUAGUUGGAGAUCUGCCCCGGAGGCAGAUGCUCCAGCCAGGCCCGAGCAGAGUCGGAGAGGAACAGGGGGAGGUUGCGGAUGACGAGGUUGUCAUCGUCCGUUCCACCUAGUUGGCAGGCCAGCCGGUAGUCCGCGAGCCACAGUUCCGGCCUUGUCUCCCCCGAGUACUUUGUGAUGGUAGUCGGGGUUCGGAACCGGGCCGGGAACGGGCCCGUCGUAUGGCUCGACUGAAAGCCUGUGGGCUGGGUGGUUCGGGGGAGAGACUCCAAUCCUCCCCGCUGUCGUAGCGUCCCCCACGCCUGGGGUGGUAGCCUCUGCGCACCCUCUCAUCGAGGCAAGCUCGAUGGUUGCGGUGGUGGUGCUCGUUGCCGAGGCGUCCCGGGGCUGCAGGCGCUGUGUUGCGCGUGCGCCCGGUGUGGACCGAGGCUUUCCACACGAAUCGGGAAGUCGCGGCGCGGUGCUCCGAGGGGUAUCCCUGCCUUCGGGAGGCAGAGCUCUCGGCCCGUCGGACCGCGGCAUCCUCCAGGAGAUUCUUGAGCUCUCCCCGGAUCCGUCGCCCUUCGGUGGUUGAUGGUUCUGGCAUUGCGCGGAGAAGUAUCGCUGCCGCAGCCAGGUUCUGGCCGACCCCACUAGAGGCCGGUGGUGGCCUUGCCCUGACGUUGUCGGCGAUGCGGAGCUGGAUGCCCUGGGGCAGAUGACGCGCUUCUCCGGCCGGAGCUUGGUCUACCCAUUCCUGCCCGAUGUUCCAGCGGAGCGGCUCAAGUGUUCCUGCCCCCUCAUCGAGCUUGGCCUGCAUCUCGCGGAUUUGCUCGAGCUGUGCGUCCUGACCCCCCGCAGGGACUGGGACCACAGCUAGCUCUCGAAGGAUGUCAACGCGAGGCGCAGGCCUAGGGGGAUCACCGUUUUCCGGUAUACCAAGAUGGUUGCCUUCAUCGGGACCCCCUAGAUCGACGUGGAAACAUUCACGACUUGGGCCGCAGUCUCCAUCGCCGAAGCUGUGGCUACCGUCGGAAUAAUCGGAAAGGCAGUAGUCGCAUGCGGUCAUGAAGUCCCGCAUGGUACUGGGGUUACCGAGCCCGGAGAAAUCCCAACCAACAUCGGGCUCGUCAUCUUCCUCGGAACCCGAGGGCCCGUAGGUCGAGACGGCCGUCAGCCGGUCCCAGGGUGACCGCAUAUGAUACCCCAGAGGGUUGGUGCAUGCCUCUAUGAAGGCUUCCACCAAAGCAGGGUCGCUUGGUGGGUCGAGGCCGAAUCCAAAAGGCAUGAGACGGGAAUCGGUUGGUACCUCUUGGUCGACAGGUGGUGACGUUGUCACGUCAGGGGCGGACUGCACCGUCGUCUCAGGUACGAGGGUGACGCCCAGCAAGUCCUUCGCGAGCGUGCUGGCGUCGUCCGUCUGCUUGGAGCUGGCGUGUUGUGGGGAAACGGCGCUCGUCUUCGUCUCAGACGCGAGGUCGACGCUCGACGUGUCCCCCGUCGGGGCGCCGGCGCCGUCGACUUGCUCGACAGCCGAUGAGGUGCCGCCUCCUGCUCGGCCACGGUUGCCCCGCCUCCUCCUCCUCCGGCGGGGAAGGUGACGGGACAAACUCGGAUGUUGUUCUUCCGCCUCGUGGGGAAGACGUCGUCGAUUCCGCCGCCGGCGGGCGGGUUGUCGGCCGCCGCUGUCGCCGUCGCGCGGCGGAGGAAGGAGUAUCAUGUCGUAGCUGCCGUCGAGGGACAUGAACUCAAGACUCCCGAAACGGAGCACCGUCCCGGGUUGGGAAGGUUGCUGGAGACUACACAUCUGGAGCUUGACGGGGAGCUAUUCGUCAACACGCAGCAGGCCCCUACCUGGCGCGCCAACUAUCGGCGUUUCGACCCCGGGGGGUCCCUGGACCGAUGAGUAAAUUGUCGCCGCGUGUCCCAGCCCAGAUGGGUCGGCGCGAGACGGAGCACGAAGGGGGGGUUGAAGAGAGGGAGAAAAGGGGAAAACCCACGGCCUCCGUGUUGUCCUGCGCCCCGGUCGGGUGCGCUUGCAGUAGGGGGUUACAAGCGUCCGCGUGGGGGAGAGCGAGGGACCCUACGCGCCGUCCCGUCCUCCCGCGCGGCCAACCUCCUUGUAAGAGAGCCCUAGACCUUCCUUUUAUAGGCGUAAGGAGAGGGUCCAGGUGUACAAUAGGAGGUGUAGCAGUGCGCCUUCGUGUCUAGCAGAGAGGAGCUAGUGCCCUAAGUACAUGCCGUCGUGGCAGCCAGAGAGGUUUUGGCACCCUGUUCAUGUGAUGUCGUGGCCGUCGUAGGAGCGUUGGAGCCUUGCGGAAGGACAGCUGUCGGGGCUGUCGAGUCCUUGCUGACGUCUCCUUGCUUCCGUAAGGGGUUGAGAGUCAUCGUCGUCAUGGAGCACGCGGGGCGCCAUCAUUAUCUGUUUACCGGGGCGAGCCAGAUGGGACGCCAGUCCUGUUACCCGUAGCCUGAGUUAGCUAGGGAUAGGGUAAUGAUGGCCCUUCCUGUGACGUGGUCGGUUCGAGCCUUGGGUCAGGCGAGGCGGAGGCUCCUCCGAGGUUGGGGUCGAGUCGGUCUUCCAAGGUCGAGGUCGUGUCCGAGCCCUGGGGUCGGGCGAGGCGGAGUUCGUCGUCUUCUGGGGCCGAGCCCGAGUCCGAGCCCUAGGGUCGGGCGAGGCGGAGUUUCUUAUGGCACCCGAGGCCGGACUUGGCUGCUGUCAGCCUCACUCUGUUGAGUGGCACAGCAGUCGGAGCGACGCAGGCAGCGCUGUCUUCUUGUCAGGUCGGUCAGUGGAGCGGCGAAGUGACUGCGGUCACUUUCGGCUCUGUCGACUGAAGGGCGCGUGACAGGAUAAGGUGUUAGGCCAUCCUUGCAUUAAAUGCUCCUGCGAUUUGGUCGGUCGGUGUGGCGAUCUGGCCAAGGUUGCUUCUUGGCGAAGACUGGGUCUCGGGCGAGCCGAAGGUGUGUCCGUCGCUUGAGGGGGUCCUCGGGCGAGACGUGAAUCUUCCGGGGUCGGCUGUCCUUGCCUGAGGCUGGGCUCGGGUGAGGCGAGGUCGUGUCCUUUGAGUGGACCGAGCCUUGGCUUAAUCGCACCCAUCAGGCCUUUGCAGCUUUGUGCUGAUGGGGGUUACCAGCUGAGAUUAGGAGUCUUGGGGGUACUCCUAAUUAUGGUCCCCGACAACACUAAAUUCACAAGAAUAAGAAACCCCCUCCACCUUAAGGGGUAAGACCAUAGCUUCCAUUGCUCUUUACAUUAUGUAAUAUAUUUGCAUUAUGCUAAUUUGUUUCACCAUAAUGCUUACCAUUCAUACUAUUAUGGCAGUUACCAUCGUUGUGGCCACCUUCCAUCCACGGCGCGGUUAGUCCUCGGCGAAACCAAGGAACCUAUGACUAUUAAAGAAAUCUGAAGAGAACACAAUAAUCAUCACCUUCAGAUUUCUUUAUGGCAGUCGGUCCACAUCCUUGGUGCCACUGCACUCAUCUCAUUGCUUCAGCCUACACCUGAAAUAUAUGAGCUAUUUGAUGACAUUGUUCUCCUUGCUGAGGGCCAGAUCGUGUACCAGGGUCCUUGAGAAAAUGUCCACGAGUUUUUUGAGGCCAUGGGUUUCAGAUGUCCUAAUAGGAAAGGUGUUGCAGAUUUCCUGCAAGAAGUGAGUGAUCUGGGAGAAUACGAUUUACUGUACGUCCAGAAUUUCUAGAAUCCAAUUUGAUGUUGUUCUAUUUGGAUGGACAGGUUACAUCUAGGAAGGAUCAAUACCAGUACUGGUGUACAAGAGAUGAACCAUAUCAGUACAUUUUAGUAAAUGACUUUGUAGAGUCCUUCAAAGCAUUCCAUGUUGGCCAUGCAUUGCAGUCGGAGCUCGAGCUGCCCUUCGAUCGAACCAAGAACCACCCUGCUGCCCUCACAACAUCAAAGUUUGGUAUCAGCAAGAUGGAGCUUCUCAAGGCAUGCUUUUGUAGGGAGUGGCUGCUGAUGAAGAGGAACUCAUGGACGAAGGUAUCAGGUACUAGCUGACUUAACAGAAUAUCCAUCAGUAUUCUACAAUGAUCAAUACAGGUUGUCCAAUUGUUUUUUCAUGUCUGUGUUCAGUUGCCUUCAACUUUCUUGCAUAUGCACAGUACUUCUGAAUAUUUGUGAAUAAUUGUUGCCUCAGCCAAGCUAUUUAUUGUUGAUUUACUGAAGCACUCACCAGUUUCUCUUAAAUUGCAGAUCAUUGAUCCCUUUCAUUUCAUGGUCUAUUCAAAAGGAAAAUCCACUUCUGAGAUUAACAGUUGAGAACUGUGAGUUGUCCAGUAUUGGUGUGAUUACACUUCUGGAGUGCCUCACAAAUGUGAAGCAACUCCUUGAUGUGCUAUCUAUUGCAGACAAUCAUCUAGGGAGGUGAGUUGUAUGUCUUUUCAUGCAUUUUGUUCUGCUGUGCUGUAUUAAGUCAACAUAUUAAUUGAAAUGCGAUUGCAGUUCUAUGGCAGCUGCAUUGGCCAGAUUCUUGGGUUCACAUGUACGGGCUUUAACUGCUACAGAUAUCGGCUUGGGAAUAGUAGGCUUCCAAACACUUGAGGAAACAUUGCCAACAGAAGUAGCUCUUUCCCACAUCAACAUCAGGUAGAACCAAGCACUUCCACUCAGCAUAGAUGUCAGUUUCCUCACUGACAUUAUUUAUAUUUUGUAGUAAGAAUCUGGUGGGAUCAGAGUAGCAUAUUUUGUUUCCAGAUUAAUAUGUCGAGCACCAAACCUUGUCUCAUUCAAUGCAGCAGGGAACCUUUUACCACCUGAAUCAUUGGAAGUCAUCUGUAACUCCUUGAAGCAAGGGACUUGUAAGAAAUAAAUGCUUUACCAAAUUCACCUUUUCUUCUUGCUAUCAAGAAUCCACCAAGAAUCAGCAGGACAAUCUGAGCAAAUGAGCCAAAUGUGUCUGCAACAACCAUCUCUCUUCCUACUGCAACAAGAAGUAUGUAAUGUAAUCAUUCAAUCAUUGUUUAGUGUCUAGUGUGUGGGACUCAGCUCUCUUUCUGCAGAUAACAUCAAGAAAUCAUGGAUUUGGGGUUACUAGUCCUCCCCUCUGAUGUAUGCCCAGAAUGACCACAAUAAAUAUUUUGCUCUUUUUAAUUCCUUGGUAUAUGUACACUGGCAAGUAUGUGAUAUUAGAAUAUUUGAAGAGUUGCCAUUUUGAUCAUCAUCUUCAUUUAUACUGUUUAGGUCAGAUCUAUUAAAGCAUCAACAUUAAUUUUACAAGCUUUUGGUCAGAUCUAAUCAUGUAGUGUACAAUAUAUGUUUGUUUCCAAAGACUACUAAAUUAACUAUAAACAUUAAGCUUUAAUGCAGCUAUCUGCAAUUUUUAAAUACUAUGAUUUCCUAAAAAGUUAUUAUGAAUAGCAGCUACUAUAACAUGUCAAAAAAUGUUAAUCCCUUGUGGCCUCCUCCCCGAAGCUCAAAGCGCCGGUACCGUGGUGCGCCCCGUUCCAGCCUCUUCACGGCUCGGCUCACGGGUGUCAGCCCGUCUCUCUUUGGUAAGGCCCUCUCCAACAUGAUAUUGUGUACCGAGCAGAUAUAUGUCUUUAAGGCCCUCUCCUGAUUUUUAGUGAGUUUUUUGUUGCGAAUCCCUUUUUGUUUUCCAUGUUUAUGAGGUGCUUUCUAUUGCAUUUAACAAUUAUAAUGAAUUAUUGUUUGAUACUGCACUAAGUAAGUAGAAUUAUCAACUUGGAUUUCUGUUAAUAUCACAGAGUAUAGUUGAAAGGGAAAUAGGCUUUAAACCUUUUCCUAAAUGAUUUUGGUGGUUGAAAUGUCCAACACAAAUAAAUUGGACUAACUAGUUUGCUCUAGAGUAUAUGUUCUACAGGUGCCAAAGGUUCAACUCAAACCAAUACAAAGAUUAAAAAGGGCUCAAAUAGAAAGGAGCAAAGGAAACCGAAGUGCUCCCUGGUCUGGCGCACUGGACUGUCUGGUGCACCACCAGACGGUGUCCGGUGCACCACCAGACGGUGUCCGGUGCACCACCGGACAGUGUCCGGUGCACCAGGGACCGUACACUCCGAACUCUGCAGCUUCGGGUUUCUUAGGCGCAGCUCCGCUAUAAUUCACUGGACUGUCCGGUGUACCACCGGACUGUCAGGUGUGCCAGCGGGGCAAUAGCUAUCUGCGCGCAACGGUCAACUCUGCAAAGUGAACAGUGCAAUUCAGAUGUCAGAGCAGAAGGUCAGAGGGGCACCAGACUGUCCGGUGCCGCAUGAGGACAAAGCCUCCAACGGUCGACUAGCUCCAAGCCCUAACGGCAGGAUGACGUGGUGGCGCACCGGACGCUGUCCGGUGGCGCACCGGACUAUCCGGUGCGCCUAUCGCCAGCAGCCUUCUCCAACGGCUACAAUUUGGUUGGUGGCUAUAAAUACCACCCCAACCGGCCACUUCAAGGUGUGGGAGCCCAAGCAACAUUCCAAGUCAUAUAGUUGACAUAUUCAAGCUCUCCCAACCACCUCUAUUCAUUGAUCCAUCCUAUACACGAGAUUUAGACCACUACAACCAACACAAGUGCCACAAAAGAGAGAGCAAGCAAGAGAGAGCUACUCGUGUGAGUUUAGCACUAGUGCCUUGUGAGAUUCAUUGAGAGAAAGUGUGUGCUACAUCUUGUGUUCAUUUGUGCGUGGAGUUUUGACUCCCAUUGAACUUCCUCCAAAGUUUUGGAGGCUUGUAAAGCUAGCAAGAGACACCAAAGAGUGUGGUGAUCCUUGCGGGGUCUUAAGUGAUCCUUAAGAAGAAGAAGAGCUCGCCGGUCUUUGGUGAUCGGUGGAGAGAGGGAAAGGGUUGAAAGAGACCCGUCCUUAGUGGACUCCUCAACGGGGACUAGGCCUUCGAGGGCCGAACCUCGGUAAAACAAAUCACCCGUGUCUCUUGUGUUAAUUUCUUGUGAUUUGUUUGCUUUCCCUCAUACUAAGUUUUCUUGCUCUAUUCUUUGCUAACAUUAUUUGGUGUAGUUUCAAAUUAAAUUCUCAUUUAGUGAAGCAACACCUUGCAAGAAAGAACUUGUGUUAUUGCUCUUCUUAUCUAAGCCCUCUUGCUUUAUUCUCAUAGACCUAUUAGUUGUAUUGAUUUACCAAUUCCGCAUUAUUUGAAAGCAAUACUCUUUACAAGCAAAGGACUUAGUUUUUAUACUCCGAUAAUUGUGUAUCUUGUUCUAACCACUAAUCAAGGGAUCUAGUUGGGGUGUAAAGUUAUAAUUUUUAGGUUUCGCCUAUCCACCCCCUCUAGGCGACUUUCAAUUGGUAUCAGAGCUAGGCACUUCAUAUUGAGUCUAACAACUCGAAUUGAUGGCUCGAAGAAGAUCCCAAAAGAACAAGAAGACAACUCCGAAGGAGGUAACUCUUGAGAUAUUACUUCCCGAUUGUUCUAAUUAUGAUUCAUGGUCUACUAGGGUGAUAAACGCUUUUAGAGUCGUAGAUCCUCAAUUAGAACAAAUUUUAGACAAGAGUAUCAUUCCUUCUAACUAUGAUAGGAAAAAUGUUUCCGAGGAAGAUCUAAGAUGUAUUCGCUUAAACUAUCUAGCUUAUGACAUCUUAAGUAAAUCUCUUAACAAAGAAGAUUAUCGUGCCUUCAUAAUAAGAUGUGAUAAACCUAUUUGUGAUGCGCAUGAUAUUUGGACUAGAAUUAAAAGCAAAUUUGAUGAGUCCAAACAUGAUGGUUCAUUUUGUGCUUCUACUUCCUUUAGUCUAUGUGAUACUAACCCUUGCAAGGAAGAAGAAGAAAAUGAAUGAUGGAGACCAAACAAUGAAUCCACCUCUCCAAAAGGUGUGUCUUCCCAUUCCGAUUCCCACAUAUGUUGUGUGGCUAAUGAAAAUGAUAGUGGAAGCACAAAUGAGGAUGAGGAGGAUGAAAGAAGCUUCAUGCAAGUCUACGCUCGUCUAAGCCAAGAAGAUAAGGCGGUCAUGCUCAAACUUCUAAAAAGAGCUAGAAAGCAAAGCGAAGCUCAUCAAAUGCUAGAAGAUAGUCUCUCCAUAAAAAUGCUAAGAUUUGAUGAGUUGACUAAAGAACAUAAGGAGCUAAAGUGCUCUCAUCUUGAUUUGGUCCAAAGGUAUGAAACUAUUUCAAUUGAGCAAGAUAACUCUUUAUAUUGUAUCGCUCAAUUAGUAAAUAAGAAUGUCUUGCUUAAGGACCAAGUAGAAAAGCUAAAAGUUGAAAAUCUAGCUUUUCAAGAUAAAUAUGAUAUGCUUCGAUAUUCUAAUGAAAAUCUUAUCGAUAAUCAUAUCAUAUUAAACAUUGCUCAUGAGGUUGUGAUAGAAAACAUAAAAUCCCAACAACCUCACUCAUGCACAUGUAUUCAAAUUGAAACUAUAUUACCAUGUGCUAAUGCUUGUUGUCCGUCGACAAGCAAAUCUUCCUUUGAGCUAGAAUUUGCAGGAACAAAAGAUGAUAAAUAUUAAAAGCUCAAAGAAGAAAAUGAGAGGCUAAAGAUGAGCUUGACUCAACUAAAAGGGAAGUGCAUUGCUCAACCUUCUCAAGAUAACCGUGAUCACAUGGUGAAGAAGCUUGAGAUGGGAACAACCGUGGCAUGCACUAAAUCCCUUGAAGAAAAUGUCAAGGACUUGAGGAUUGCCAAGGGGAAAGAACAAAAGAAGAAAAUCAAUACCUCUGCCAAAAGCCUCAACCGUGCCUCCAUGCAAGGUAACAUCCAAGGUAAUGAUCAAGCCACACUUCACACUAAGAGAAGUAAGAAGUGUAGUGAAUGCUUUGAAAAGGGACACUCGAUUAGGUCAUGUCCCUAUAUUAAAAAUGACUUGAUUAUUAACAAGGAUGAUAAACUUUGCUUUAAAUGCUCAAAGAAGGGACACUUAAUUAGGUCUUGUCCCCAUUUAAAACAAAAAGGCAUUAUGUUAGAAAAGAAAAUAUUCACUAACCAUGUAGCAAGCAAGAAACAAGGAAGGAAGAAAUCUUCAAGACUUGAAGAUCACCUAUGCUACAUAUGCCGAAAGAAGGGACAUCAAUGCAAGGAUUGUCCCAUUGGUAACAAUCCACUCCUAGCUUGUCAAAUAAUUCUCAUGUAACUAGGCAACCCAAAAUUGCAACUUGUGCUAGAAAGGUAAUGAGUUUACCUAGUGCUAACACAAAGGACGUUUGGGUUCCUAGAUCUUUGUUGACUAACCUUGAUGGACCCAUCAAGAGAUGGGUACCAAAAUAUGCUUGACAAGCUUUGCAGGAGAAGGAGAUGAUAUGAAGCUUUGGGGUGCUUGAGAGUGUUAAUUCAAUUCUUAUUAACUCAAGCUAUCAAUCUUCAAUGAUCUAUAUAUCCAAGAUUGACCCAAAGUUAUUUCAAAUUGUUAUGUCUAAAACUCAUAUCAUCUCGGGGAAGAUAUUGAUGUUGUAGGAAAUAAAGAAUUAUUCUGUGCGGAAAGAUCAAGGCCUACAACGUGGAGGAAAGCCAAAGGAUGGUAACACUUGUGUUUUAAGUGCACGUAUCUUAAAUUACCAUUUCUCAUGUGUCUUGUGUAGUCACAUAGAAAAAGAAGCACUUCAAAUGUCUUAAAAUUAUGUCACCAUUCUUUGAAGAAAUUCCUCUCAUAUGGUAGAUUGCAUACUCAUCAUUGCUAUACUAUGGCAAUCUACAUGCUUUAAAUUAUUGUAAAUACCUCAUGGCAUAUUUUACACUAAUUAUCUUAUUAUUGCCAUGAUUCUAGAUAUAGAGAGAUACUUCAAGUUCUUAAAAGAAUAAGGUGUCAUGUAAGGAAUUCAAAUCCUUAGGACACUUAUAAAAGGAAAAUUCUCUCUAUAACUAGAAUAGUGAGACUAAUGCUUUUAUCUAAGUAACCCAAGUAGUCUCACUUGUAGAGAAUAAGUUUCUCUUUGGAAGUGCGUAAUCUAACAUAAAAGGAAAAAGCAAUCCAAUAACUUAUGUUGUUGUGCUUCUUGCUUAAAUUGGAUAGGAUUCUUCUACAUUCAUCGCUCUCCAUGAUUGAAUUAGAUUUGUUCCCAUUAUCUUAAGGAAUUAACUAUGCUUGUUUUAUAAGUUAAAACUAAGCAUAUAUCAUGGAAUAAUCUAGUUCAUAUUAUAAAGUUUCCAUGUUUUAGUAUUAUAUCUUUCAUUCUUUUAAAAAAUGAUUACUAAAAGGGAAAUCCAUUUGAUAUAUGCUAACAAUGACUUGGAGAAGGAUCACUAGUUGUAGAACUCUCUCUUGUGCAAAAUAUUUCCAUAUAUUGUAUUGAAUAUAGGUCUUAAGCAACUAAGACUAAGGACAAAGCACAGUGAAGAGAGCGUCUCUAUGUGAAGGUACAAAAGGGUAAAACUACUUCCUCUCAUUUACACAUGUACCUAGAUCUUCCUUUUUCUGCUUUCUUUGCAUAUCUUGUAUAAAAGGAAGAGAAAGCAUGUCCAAGCAUUAAUCCUGCUUCAUAUCUAGUUUAACUUCUCAAAAAUCUCACUCCUGCAAUUAAUGCAUCGUUGUUAAAACUAGAUGAAGUAAUUUUAUUGUCAAAGAGCUUAAAGCUUAACCUUGUAACGAGGAUAAGUUGCCUUUGUUCCAAAGGUGGAUGGUCCUUAAGCCUCUUUGAAAUCCUUAAGGGAAAAUGCUUAAGUUGUUUAUAACAUGCUUUCAUGAGUGCAUAAACUGUCAUGAGCAUCACACUUACAUUAACGCAAUGCACUUCACAUUCUCUAUGAUAUAGAUAUGUUCUCAUUAACCUAAUUAUGUGCAAUUGGAAUUUAAGGCCAAAAUAUGUGUUCCUCUCCAUGCACAUAUUUAGGGGGAGCAAUCUAUGUUAUAUAGAACUAUGAUUAUGCUUAAUUUGAUAUAUCUUGUGAUCAUAUCUCUUUAUGUCUACGACUAAUGUGCUUUCAAGUGAUUUCUAUGCUAAGUCGUAGAUUGAAAGGGAAAUGGAGUCUUCGGCGAAGACAAGGCUUCCACUCAACUCCAUUAGUAUUAUUUAUCCUUCGCCAUCACUCCACAUAGUACUCUCCACUUUGGUAUAAUCUUCACUCGUAUUUAUUUGCCAUUAAGGAGAAAGUAAAAAGGGCUUAUAUUUCACUCACAAGUAUCCGUUUUUGGCGAUUCAUGCCAAAGGGGGAGAAAGUAUUAGCCCAAAGCAAAUGGACCGCACCACCACUAACGAAUUUUAAAAAUAAAGUUUUCAAAUUGGUAUCUUAAUGUGUUUUCAAAAAGGAGGAACUAGUAUCUUCAAAAAUUUGUAAAACCCUCUUGAACACUAAGAGGAGAAUUUCAUUGAGGAGGAGUUUUGUUUUAGUCAAAGGAAAAGCAUUUGAAACAGGGGGAGAAAAUUUCAAAUCUUGAAAAUGCUUCUUUCAAUCUUAUUCAUACAUAUUUGACUAUUUGCAAAAGUUGUUUUGAAAAAGAAUUUUACAAAGAAUUUGCAAAAACAAAACUAGUGGUGCAAGCGUGGUCCAAAAUUUUAAUAAGAAGAAAACAAUCCAUGCAUAUCUAGUAGAAAUAAUAUAUUGGUUUAAUUCCAAGUAACCUUUGCACUUACCUUAUGCAAACUAGUUCAAUUCUGCACUGAUAUAUUUGCUUUGGUUUGUGUUGGCAUCAAUCACCAAAAAGAGAGAGAUUGAAAGGGAAAUAGGCUUUAAACCUUUUCCUAAAUGAUUUUGGUGGUUGAAAUGCCCAACACAAAUAAAUUGGACUAACUAAUUUGCUCUAGAGUAUAUGUUCUACAGGUGCCAAAGGUUCAACUCAAACCAAUACAAAGAUUAAAAAGGGCUCAAAUAGAAAGGAGCAAAGGAAACCGAAGUGCUCCCUGGUCUGGCACACCGGACUGUCCGGUGUGCCAUCGGACAGUGUCCGGUGCACCAGGGACCGUACACUUCGAACUCUGCAGCUUCGGGUUUCUCAGGCGCAGCUCUGCUAUAAUUCACCGGACUGUCCGGUGUGCCAGCGGGGCAACGACUAUCUGCGCGCAACAGUCGACUCUGCAAAGUGAACAGUACAAUUCAGAUGUCAGAGCAGAAGAUUAGAGGGGCACCGGACUGUCCGGUGUAGCACCAGACUGUCCGGUGCCGCAUGAGGACAAAGCCUCCAACGGUCGCCAGCUCCAAGCCCUAACGGCAGGAUGACGUGGCAGCGCACCGGACACUGUCCGGUGGCGCACCGGACACUGUCCGGUGGCGCACCGGACUGUCCGGUGCGCCUAUCGCCAGCAGCCUUCUCCAACGGCUACAAUUUGGUUGGUGGCUAUAAAUACCACCCCAACCGACCACUUCAAGGUGUGGGAGCCCAAGCAACAUUCCAAGUCAUAUAGUUGACAUAUUCAAGCCCUCCCAACCACCUCUAUUCAUUGAUCCAUCCUAUACACGAGAUUUAGACCACUAUAACCAACACAAGUGCCACAAAAGAGAGAGCAAGCAAGAGAGAGCUACUCAUGUGAGUUUAGCACUAGUGCCUUGUGAGAUUCAUUGAGAGAAAGUGUGUGCUACAUCUUGUGUUCAUUUGUGCGUGGAGUUUUGAUCCCAUUGAACUUCCUCCAAAGUUUUGGAGGCUUGUAAAGCUAUCAAGAGACACCAAAGAGUGUGGUGAUCCUUGCGGGGUCUUAAGUGAUCCUUGAGAAGAAGAAGAGCUCGUCGGUCUUUGGUGAUCGGUAGAGAGAGGGAAAGGGUUGAAAGAGACCCGUCCUUAGUGGACUUCUCAACAGGGACUAGGCCUUCGAGGGCCAAACCUCGGUAAAACAAAUUACCCGUGUCUCGUGUUCGUUUAUUGUGAUUUGUUUGCUUUCCCUCAUACUAAGUUUUCUUGCUCUAUUCUUUGCUAACAUUAUUUGGUGUAGCUUCAAAUUAAAUUCUCAUUUAGUGAAGCAACACCUUGCAAGAAAGAACUUGUGUUAUUGCUCUUCUUAUCUAAGCCCUCCUGCUUUAUUCUCAUAGACCUAUUAGUUGUAUUGAUUUAUCAAUUCCGCAUUAUUUGAAAGCAAUACUCUUUACAAGCAAAGGACUUAGUUUUUAUACUCCGAUAAUUGUGUAUCUUGUUCUAACCACUAAUCAAGGGAUCUAGUUGGGGUGUAAAGUUAUAAUUUUUAGGUUUCACCUAUCCACCCCCUCUAGGUGACUUUCAAUAGUCAAAUAAGCACUUGUGGCUAGAGGCCUGGAGCAGUUGAUUCAUAGAUCUUGAGAAAUGCUACGAGAACCCUUUAUAUAUUUGAAAACCUCUUGUUUGUAUCAAAAUUUCUUCUAGAAUCAAGGAGUAUACAUGUACCUAUGACUGUUUAUUGCUUGAGUCGGCUCUUCUCCUUCUUAUUUACAUACUUGCACUUAGACUUAGUAUAUUGCUUCAAUAUAUAUAUUUAUCCUGGGAAAGGCAUCAGAUUUAUCUGUGCUAAUUCUUAGGUUACUCCAUGUUAUAUUUUUAAGAAAUUUAUAAGCUUAUAUAAAAUUUUGUUUAUGUUUGCACAAUAAUCUAUUUUGUCAGACUAUGUUGCUCUGAAGAUGAUGCUUUACAAAUAAUUCUCAGUCUAACAAAUUGCAGGCAACCAUCUUAACAACAAAAGAGGCUCGUACAAUCGCACCUGCAACUGCUAAACCACUUGUGCAUGUAAAGUAUAAAAAAGGAGGCCAAACACAUGUUGAUGAAACAUCUAAAAAGGUAAGCAACUUGAACCACUAUUUUCUUAAGAUCCCUUCUGGUAACCAAAAAUUAUUAAUACAGUAAACAUGGCUGCUGCUUGAUGAUAAAUAGUAAAAAAAUGCUUCUCCGAAAUUGGCUGAUAUAUAUUAAUAAAAACUUUGUCCGACCAGAUGUCGCGGUAAAGCGAUUUAAUUAGCAUGUACAACUCUGUCGCUUUUCUCUUCAGCACAAACAGAAAAGAAAAAAAGAAAAAAAGGCAGGAUUGAUUGUUGAUAUUACACAAGCAUCUCAAGCUCUACCAGAACUCCGAGAUUUUUGCUAUACGGUGAACUAGCAGCAUUCACAUAAAUUUCUUUCCUGUGAUCGAAUUCACUGAAAACGUGCACUAAUCUAACUGUAAAGUUUGUGCUCUUCUUUUAUUGUGGAUUUGUUUGAAAUCUGAUGUAUCAUUUUGUUUUGGAUUGGUUAAGGUAAUAAGGAUGCCAAAUCUGCAGCUUUGCCAACAUGAGCAGUUUAUACUCGCUUCCCCGUACCCUCCACUUCCUUGUCGUCGUGCUGAUUCCAUAUCAAGGGGUAGUGAUCUGGAAGAUGGCUAUGUUUUUGUAAGUACGAGGCUCAAGAUCUUGUUCAAGGAAGGUGGCUGUGGUACUUUUGAUCCUUUGGCUGUGGUACUUUUGAUCCUUUGGUUGUGGUACUUUUGAUCCUUUGUUUCUCAACUUGAUUGCAUCUAUGCAGCGCUAUAACCAGAUUGACAUCCAAUCUGGUGCUAGCAUGACACCUAUAUGGACCCCCUGUAAUAUGUGUAUGAGUUAAUAUAUGUUAACUGAAUUGGCAAAACACUUGAUAUAUGUUAAAAUAUGUUGACCCAAUAAUCCUACCAAGAUCUUUCUUUGGUAUUAUAUAUAUUUUAUAUAAAUUUUUUACUCACGUCGCAACACACGGACAACCUGGUAUAAGGAGAAGGAAUCAAAAAGAAAGAAAAACGCACCGUGGACAGCGUGGAUGGUUACGCCAGUAAUCCAGUACUAGUCGCUUGCGCGCGCCAGCGCGCGUCCACCUGCAGAUUUUGCAUCAACAAAAAUAGACACCGCCAUACAAAUUUAAAAGGGCAGAAAAGGAGCCUUAGUGCACUAAGGCUACAAAUCAUUUAUACAACUCCAGAGAGGUGAAAAUAGAAAAUAAUGCAAAAAUUGGCUUGUAUAUAUUACAUGUGUUUAACAAAAAGGCAAGAAACUAUAAGUAUGAGUUUGUUUAUUUGUAGGAAGAAAAAUGAAGUUUGUAAACGUUCAUUGGAAGAUUAAAAUGGGUAAAUAGUUAAAUUGUUUAGGCAAUACGUACCUUGCGUCUCUAAUGAAUAUAUGUCGAUUCAUAUUAACGAUUUUUUAGUGCAGUUAGAUCUUGCCUGUGUAUCAGGAAGGACCAUGUCAUUGUGCUGCAAGGGACAACUAUUAGUACGACCUCGAAAUUCCCACUUUAUAGAUACCUGAACUUGAACUUGGAUGGUUGCAAGUUUGUCUAUUUGAUUUAAAGCCGAAAAUGGAGUUGUAGUCAUUUUUUAACCUGUCAAUAUUACAUCCAAUCUUAUUAUCAUAUUGUGAAUGACAUGGAAGCAAACGUUCCAGAACCUCCUUCUCAUGUUUAGGACACAAUCGAUCGUGACUUUUAAGCAUGCUGUCAGUUUUGAAAGUGAAAUUUUGGUAAUAUAUUACAUAAUAAAAAAAUGAGCAAAGAAGAACAAUCUAGGAAUCAUGGUAUAAACUGUAAGCUGGAACAACUACCACACGAAGAAGUAAUAGUUUCUGUUGUUGUAUCAUAAGCCUUUUGUAUAUAUGUAUAGUCAUAGCAGUUCUAAAACUGGAUCUUGUUGAUUGCUGAAUGAUGAUAGAAACACAUGCCACGUCCAAUACUAUAUGAGGUAUGUUGUUAUAAAGUAAGACUAGUGCUGACUUAGUGUAAUUGAUUUGUUAGAACUGAGUAGGCAUACACUAAUAACAUAUUGGUUUAAGUGACGUUACAUAUUUAGACCAUACAACAGCACUCAGGUCUGGAUUGUCAGCUAUUACCCUUAGAUAGAUCGAGACGACGCCACAAUGCUGAAUAUGACUUGUUGCAGCAUCGUCGCAGUGGACAUAACUGUGAGGGAAGGGUGUACCUGGUUUUGCUACUCAGGGCGGACCGCGGGGCAUGGGCACACAGCCGCCGCCACAACACGCGCGCAGGUCGUAGUGCGGUGGGGGCGAUCAGAGGGAGGCACGACAGCCCUGCUUGGUUGGCGCGCGUUCGAUGUCGAGAUGUGGGCGCGCGACGACGACGCGGGAGCAAGGGUCGGCUGGAGCCGUGGACACAGCUGCGACAGAAGGGUGUACCUGCUUUUCCUACUUCGAGACAGGACAACCGCGGUCACGACGCACGCAAGUCAUAGCGCGGUGGGCGGUGGGUGGUGCGGAGGCACAGCAGCCCUGCUAGGUCGGGUCGCAGUCGACUUCGGGGUGUAGGCGCGCGGCGAUGACGCGAGAACGGCAGGGGGUGUCUCGAGAUAGGACGCCACGGUGGGGCGGCGGUCGGCGAGCUGGCGGCCUGCGCCGGGGACUGGAGGAGGGCCGGUGAGGCCAAAUUCCAGAGACACUUUGCAAAGCGAGAAGCGUUUGCGGCGGAGAGGGGGUGGAAGAAAGUAGAAACAGAAAUAGGGGAAAAUAUCUUAUGCAAUCACUUAUAUUGGUGCAAGCGUGCAAUCAAGCGGUUUGGUGCAUCUGAUCUAGAUCUAAUGAUGACUGUUAUUUUAUAUUUAACCCCUUCCACCUAAAACAUAGUACCUAUUUUACUUUUAACCCCUUCCAUAUGAAACCGUUGGAUCUAGAUUGGAUGCUCUGGAUGGUUUGAUUGCACGCUUGCACCAAAAUGAGUGAUUGCACAGGAUAUGUCCUCCAGAAAUAGCUGUGUGCGACUGUGCGUUCGCUGGGUAAAGAACCGAUAGAUCUGGAAGAGUCCAGGGGCACGGAGAGUAGAGCGAUGCUUGUUGUUCGCUUGUCGUUGUAAAGAAAUCGAACGGUGGAGAAUUUAUGUGAUGACGUGGAUAGUCUGGUUGCUCUUCCUUGCGCCCGCUGUUAAUUCUUGGUUUCAAUAGGACUCCUUACGAGCGUUCUUUCUAUCUACUAUUAUCUAAAAAUAAUCAAGUUAUUAAUGACUGGACGAAACCAAGAAAUAACCCCUUAUGUGCGAAAUUAUAGAAGAUCCCCUUUAAGAUCAAACAAUUCCAUCGAAUUGAGUAUGACUGUAUGUGUGAUAGCAUCUACUAUACCAGGAAUAUCAAUGAACCCCAUUCUUGCAAUUGCUCAGGAUACCCUCUUUUAGCUGCUAGGUCUAUUUCUUAGUUCAAGAUCCCUCUUACUAACUGGAAUAAAAGAAUUAGUAGAUCUGUUCCGCCCAAAAUGGGAAUGGGUGCUAGGGUUA